rnacentral:rRNA from 1 species
GACGAACGCUGGCGGCGUGCUUAACACAUGCAAGUCGAACGGAAAGGCCCUGCUUUUGUGGGGUUCUCGAGUGGCGAACGGGUGAGUAGCACGUGAGUAACCUGCCCUUGACUUUGGGGUAACUUCAGGAAACUGGGGCUAAUACCGGAUAGGAGCUCCUGCUGCAUGGUGGGGGUUGGAAAGUUUCGGCGGUUGGGGAUGGACUCGCGGCUGAUCAGCUUGUUGGUGGGGUAGUGGCUUACCAAGGCUUUGACGGGUAGCCGGCCUGAGAGGGUGACCGGCCACAUUGGGACUGCGAGACGGCCCAGACUCCUACGGGAGGCAGCAGUGGGGAAUAUUGCACAGUGGGAGGAAGUCUGAUGAAGCAACGCCGCGUGCGGGAUGACGGCCUUCGGGUUGUAAACCGCUUCCGCCUGUGACGAAGCGGGAGUGACGGUAAUGGGUAAAGAAGCACCGGCUAACUACGUG